rnacentral:rRNA from 1 species
CCUACGGGCGGCAGCAGUGAGGAAUAUUGGUCAAUGGGCGGGAGCCUGAACCAGCCAAGUCGCGUGAGGGAAGACGGUCCUAUGGAUUGUAAACCUCUUUAGGCGGGGAGCACUGCCGGGCACGUGUGCCCGGAGGGAGAGUACCCGCAGAAUAAGCAUCGGCUAACUCCGUGCCAGCCGCCGCGGUAAUACGGGGGAUGCGAGCGUUAUCCGGAUUUAUUGGGUUUAAAGGGUGCGUAGGCGGAUUUGUAAGUCAGCGGUAAAAUGUCCGGGCUCAACCCGGGCCGGCCGUUGAAACGGGGGAUCUUGAGUGGGCGAGAAGUAUGCGGAAUGCGUGGUGUAGCGGUGAAAUGCAUAGAUAUCACGCAGAACUCCGAUUGCGAAGGCAGCAUACCGGCGCCCGACUGACGCUGAGGCACGAAAGCGUGGGGAUCGAACAGGAUUAGAUACCCGGGUAGUC